GCGGCUGUAGUCUAGCGGUAGGACACGUCCCUGCCACGGACGUAACCCGGGUUCGAAUCCCGGCAGCCGCA
rnacentral:tRNA from 1 species